AGAAUCAACGCUGGCGGCGUGCCUAACACAUGCAAGUCGAACGAGAAAGUGGAGCAAUCCAUUAGUAAAGUGGCGCACGGGUGAGUAACACGUGACUAACCUACCUUUUAGUGGGGGAUAACCUAGGGAAACCUGGGCUAAUACCGCAUAAUACCUACGGGUCAAAGCAGCAAUGCGCUGAAAGAGGGGGUCGCGGUCGAUUAGUUAGUUGGCAGGGUAAUGGCCUACCAAGACUGUGAUCGAUAUCCGGCCUGAGAGGGCGCACGGACACACUGGAACUGAAACACGGUCCAGACUCCUACGGGAGGCAGCGAGUGGGGAAUUUUGCGCAAUGGGGGAAACCCUGACGCAGCAACGCCGCGUGGAGGAUGAAGUCCCUUGGGACGUAAACUCCUUUCGAUCGGGACGAUAAUGACGGUACCGGAAGAAGAAGCCCGGCUAACUCGCGCCAGCAGCCGC
rnacentral:rRNA from 1 species